AUUCCAGCUCCAAUAGUGUAUAUUAAAGUUGCUGCAGUUAAAAAGCUCGUAGUUGAAUGUCUGUUAUCGUGAAGAUUGUCUACUUUUUACAAGUACGUACAUAAUUCCGAUACCUUCUUUCAGGUAGUGAUUUAUUUUGCUCCUGAUAAUUUACUUUGAGAAAAUUAGAGUGUUCAAAGCAGGCGUAACAAUGCCUUUGGAUAUAUUAGCAUGGGAUAAUGAAAUAAGACUUUUUGCCUUAUUCUCGUUGGUUCUUUGGGCUUAAGUAAUGAUUAAUAGGGACAGUUGGGGUUAUCUGUAUUUGAUCGCCAGAGGUGAAAUUCUAAGACUGAUCAAAGACAAACUACUGCGAAAGCAUUUAACAAGGAUGUUUUCAUUAAUCAAGAACGAAAGUUGGGGGAUCGAAGAUGAUCAGAUACCGUCGUAGUCCCAACCAUAAACUAUGCCGACCAAGGAUUCGAAAUCGUUACAUGAAUGACCUCUCGGGCACUUAUAGAGAAAUCACAAGUAUUUGGGUUCCGGGGGGAGUAUGGUCGCAAGGCUGGAACUUAAAGGAAUUGACGGAAGGGCACCACAAGGAGUGGAAUAUGCGGUUUAAUUUGACCCAACACGGGAAAACUUACCAGGUCCAGACACAAGGAGGAUUGACAGAUUGAGAGCUCUUUCUUAAUUUUGUGGGUGGUGGUGCAUGGCCGUUUCUAGUUGGUGGAGUGAUUUGUCUGGUUAAUUCCGUUAACGAACGAGACCUUAACCUAUUAAAUAGUUACAUCUACAUGGAUAAUUUACUUCCAAAUGUAGGUGGUUAACUUCUUAGAGGGACUCUUCAUGUAAAGAGUGAAUGGAAGUUUGAGGCAAAAACAGGUCUGUGAUGCCCUUAGAUGUUCUGGGCUACACGCGUGUUACACUGAUACAUUCAACAAGUAUUACCGACCUUACUCGUUAGAGUUGGGUAAUCUUUUAAAUGUGUAUCGUGAUGGGGAUAGAACAUUGUAAUUAUUGUUCUUGAACGAGGAAUUCCUAGUAAGUGCAAGUCAUCAACUUGCGCUGAUUACGUCCCUGCCCUUUGUACACACCGCCCGUCGCUCCUACCGAUGAAUGGUCCGGUGAGGAUUCGGGAUGACCUUUGAUUUUGAUCUAAUCAUUUCACUGUUUGUCAGAACUUAUUCAAACCUUAUCAUUUAAAGGAAGGAGAAGUCGUAACAAGGU
rnacentral:rRNA from 1 species